ACAAACGCUGGCGGGGUGCGUGAGACAUGCAAGUCGAACGGGGGUCUCAUCGGGCUUGCUCGAGGAGACCUAGUGGCGGACGGCUGAGUAAACGCGUAGGUGACCUGCCCGGAAGUGGGGGAAAUAACUGCCCGAAAGGGGUGGCUAAUACCGCAUGUGGUCGGCGAUUCGAUUUUGCCGUCCAAAGCCGAAAAGGCGCUUCCGGAGGGGCCUGCGUCCGAAUUAGCUAGUUGGUGGGGGUAAUGGCUCACCAAGGCGACGAUCGGUAGCUGGUCUGAGAGGAUGAUCAGCCAGACUGGGACUGAGAACGGCCCAGACUCCUACGGGAGGCCAGGCAGUCGGGAAUUUUGCCCAAUGGACGAAAAGUCUGAGGCAGCAACUCCGCGUGAGGGACGAAGGCCCUUCGGGGUCCGUAAACCUCCUUUUCUCAGGGAAAGAUACAAGACGGUACCUGAGGAAUAAGCCACGGCUAACUACGUGCCAGCAGCCGCGGUAAUACGUAGGUGGCGGAGCGUUGUCCGGAUUUACUGGGCGGUAAAGAGGCGCGCAGGCGGCCGGUCAAGUCCGAUGUGAAAGCUCCCGGGCUUAACUGGGAAAUUGCAUCGGAAACUGAUCGGCUUUGAAGGUGGGAGAGGGGUAGCGGAAUUCCCGGUUGUAGGUGGUGAAAUGCGUAGAUAUCGGGAGGAACACCAGUGGCGGGGAAAGCGGCUACCUGGCCCAUUCUUGACGCUGAGGCGCGAAAGCUAGGGGAGGCAAACGGGAUUAGAUACCCCGGUAGUCCUAGCCGUAAACGAUGAACACUAGGCGUAGUCGGUAUCGACCCCGGCUGUGGCCGUAGCCAACGCAUAUAAGUGUUCCGCCUGGGGAGUACGGCCGCAAGGCUAAAACUCAAAGGAAUUGACGGGGGCCCGCACAAAAGCAGCGGAGCGUGUGGUUUAAUUCGUCGAAACGCGAAGAAACCUUACCAGGACUUGACAUGCACCGGGGUGGAAAACAUCCCUUCCCGCAAGGGCCCGCUGCGGAGGUGCUGCAUGGCUGUCGUCAGCUCGCGUCGUGAGAUGUUGGGUUAAGUCCCGCAACGAGCGCAAACCCUUAUCGCUAGUUGCCAUCAGGUCAAGCUGGCACUCUAGCGAAAACCGCCCCGGAUAACGGGGAGGAAGGUGGGGGAUGACCGUCAAGUCCUCAUGGCCUUUAUGUUCAGGGCUACACACGUGCUACAAUGGUCGGUACAAACCGUCGCAAACCCGCGAGGGGGAGCUAAUCGGAAAAAGGCCGGCCUCAGUUUCGGAUUGGAGUCUGCAACCCGACUCCAUGAAGCUGGAAUCGCUAGUAAUCGCAGAUCAGCACGCUGCGGUGAAUACGUUUCCCGGGCCUUGUACACACCGCCCGUCACAUCACGAAAGUGGGUGGGUACUAGAAGCCGGUGCGCCAACCCGCAAGGGGAGCAGCCGUCCAAGGUAUUACUCAUGAUUGGGGUG
rnacentral:rRNA from 1 species